AUACGGAGGGUCCAAGCGUUAUCCGGAAUCAUUGGGUUUAAAGGGUCCGCAGGCGGUCAAUUAAGUCAGAGGUGAAAGCCCAUCGCUCAACGAUGGAACUGCCUUUGAUACUGGUUGACUUGAGUUAUACGGAAGUAGAUAGAAUAAGUAGCGUAGCGGUGAAAUGCAUAGAUAUUACUUAGAAUACCGAUUGCGAAGGCAGUCUACUACGUAUAUACUGACGCUGAGGGACGAAAGCGUGGGGAGCGAACAGGAUUAGAAACCCUAGUAGUCC
rnacentral:rRNA from 1 species